UCAUCAUCGCCCCUUACGUUCUGGGCUACACACGUGCUACAAUGGCCGGUACAGACGGACGCAAAGCCGCGAGGUGGAGCAAAUCCUAAAAAGCCGGUCUCAGUUCGGAUUGCAGGCUGCAAUUCGCCUGCAUGAAGUCGGAAUCGCUAGUAAUCGCAGGUCAGCAUACUGCGGUGAAUACGUUCCCGGGCCUU
rnacentral:rRNA from 1 species